AUACGUAGGGGGCGAGCGUUGUCCGGAAUGAUUGGGCGUAAAGGGCGCGUAGGCGGCCCGGUAAGUCUGGAGUGAAAGUCCUGUUUUUAAGAUGGGAAUUGCUUUGGAUACUGUCGGGCUUGAGUGCAGGAGAGGUAAGUGGAAUUCCCAGUGUAGCGGUGAAAUGCGUAGAGAUUGGGAGGAACACCAGUGGCGAAGGCGACUUACUGGACUGUAACUGACGCUGAGGCGCGAAAGUGUGGGGAGCAAACAGGAUUAGAUACCCUGGUAGUCCACACUGUAAACGAUGAAUGCUAGGUGUAGGGGGUAUCGACCCCUUCUGUGCCGCAGUCAACACAAUAAGCAUUCCGCCUCGGGAGUACGGCCGCAAGGUUGAAACUCAAAGGAAUUGACGGGG
rnacentral:rRNA from 1 species